AUUGAACGCUGGCGGCAGGCCUAACACAUGCAAGUCGAACGAGUGGCGGACGGGUGAGUAAUGUCUGGGAAACUGCCCGAUGGAGGGGGAUAACUACUGGAAACGGUAGCUAAUCCCCCAUACCGUCGGGUGUUCCCAGAGGGGCUUAGCUAGUUGGUGGGGUAAAGGCUCACCUAGGCGACGAUCCCUAGCUGGUCUGAGAGGAUGACCAGCCACACUGGAACUGAGACACGGUCCAGACUCCUACGGUAGGCAGCAGUGGGGAAUAUUGCACAAUGGGCGCAAGCCUGAUGGAGCCAGGCCGCGUGUGUGAAGAAGGCCUUCGGGUUGUAAAGCACUUUCAGCGGGGAGGCGUUACCCGCAGAGGAAGCACCGGCGAACUCCGUGCCAGCCGCCGCGGUAAUAC
rnacentral:rRNA from 1 species